GGCAUACGAUGGGUGCUCAAAACAUACUUGCUAAAAGAACGAGUGACUGAAGGGCCGUGGGAAUGAAUGAGCACACAGCAUCCCCUGCAACAGACUUCUUCCAGAGAGGUUCUGGUAGAGUCUUAACAUUAAGCUGUUAAACUACUGAGCAAGUGACUUUUCCUGAGUGACCGAACUGGGUCCUUUGUCUUGGAAAGCAUCCCACAGUCUGGAUUUUGCAGAUUGCAUCCAUGAAAUGCCCAUAGAAACCACCAUUCUACUUCUACUUCUGUGAGUUCGAUCGUUUUAGAUGCUUCAU